UGAGGAAUAUUGGUCAAUGGACGCAAGUCUGAACCAGCCAAGUAGCGUGCAGGAUGACGGCCCUAUGGGUUGUAAACCGCUUUUAUAUGGGGAUAAAGUGGGGAACGUGUUCCCUUUUGCAGGUACCAUAUGAAUAAGGACCGGCUAAUUCCGUGCCAGCAGCCGCGGUAAUACGGAAGGUUCGGGCGUUAUCCGGAUUUAUUGGGUUUAAAGGGAGCGUAGGCCGUUUGGUAAGCGUGUUGUGAAAUGUAGGAGCUCAACUUCUAGAUUGCAGCGCGAACUGUCAGACUUGAGUGCGCAGAACGUAGGCGGAAUUCAUGGUGUAGCGGUGAAAUGCUUAGAUAUCAUGAAGAACUCCGAUUGCGAAGGCAGCUUACGGGGGCGCAACUGACGCUGAAGCUCGAAGGUGCGGGUAUCGAACAGG
rnacentral:rRNA from 1 species